CCCUCUGAUAAUGUCUUUGUUUUUUUUCCUUUUUUUAUUUUAGUUUUUUUCAAGAGAGCCUGUCUGUGUGGUGCAGGGUGGCCUACCAACUCCUUCGACCUUUGAGUGCUGAGAUUUCAGCAGUUACUGCGUCUGAAGUUUCUCCCACAGCGGCUAGUAUGCUCUGGACCAAAUUUCUAAGUAACAAAGUGGGCAAAUGAACACUAUGGAGCCAGGACCUCAUAACUCUGGCAAACCUUUCCCUUGGUGAGUUCCCAGAAAAAAUGCCAGCCCUACCAGGAAAGUAUGCAGAGACUAUGACUAAGUAAUAGAAGUAUUUUCAGUGAAAACUAGGAGAAUCCUGUCUAAAUCUUUCCGCAGAUGUUACGAGGAGGCCAAGAACUUAACUAAAAUACAACUCUUUUAUCUGCCAAUAAUACAAAUGCCUAGAUAAAAGUCAGGAGCUCACAUCAAGCAUCUGCAUUAAACGUGCAGAUUCACGAGGACAGCCAGAUGCAAAGAGGUUUACUCGUCAUCACAUCUGGCACAGUGACUACAGCACAGUAAACUGGCUUUCAAGGGACUUGUCAGAAACAGCAGAGCUCAAGCCAACAGAAUUCUGUAGAGGCCGACGACCCAAAUUCCAGAACAACUCUCAGCCUGGCUAAUUUUCAAGGUGCCCACUACCUCCACGACAACAAUACACAACCUAGCUAAAAUCAAGCUUUCCAACUCUCCAAAACAUCCCAAAUCUCACUCACCCUUCGCACCUCAAGUUAGAACCAAAGGGUCCGACACAAAGGCCAGCCCUUCCAAGGCGCUUUCUGCAAGGAUCCACCACCUACGGAAAAUUUCUAACUGGGGGCUCAACGGCCCCCGUUUUGCCCUUCCUCAACCCCGCCCCAGCUGGCAAGCCUCCGCCUGGGAGCCCCUCUGCGUGGAACAAAGCGUCGGGCCCGGCGGCUCGGGCGAGACGCGCCAGCGGCGCGGGGACAGCCGCACCGCGCACAAUGAGCAACUAGCAACUUCAGAGCGCAGAACAGCCUCCAUUGGCAAGAAAAAGGGGCGGCGGCAGGCACGCCCAACUUCAAACUCAGGAAACCUACGGGCUGGCGGCCAUAAGGAAAAAAGCCCUCUUCCCAGGGAGAGAAGAUAAAGGCGGAGAUGCGAGUCGCCCACCGGGCCCCGGAGGGGAGCCCUGCGCUCAGACCGGCCCCCGCCCCCGAGGCCCGCUUCCCCGCUGCUCAGCUUUUGGUUCGCUGCCCCAGGCCGGGC